AUUGAACGCUGGCGGAAUGCUUUACACAUGCAAGUCGAACGGCAGCAUAGGUGCUUGCACCUGAUGGCGAGUGGCGAACGGGUGAGUAAUACAUCGGAACGUGCCCAGUCGUGGGGGAUAACGUAGCGAAAGUUACGCUAAUACCGCAUACGAUCUAAGGAUGAAAGCGGGGGACCGUAAGCCCUCGCGCGAUUGGAGCGGCCGAUGUCAGAUUAGGUAGUUGGUGAGGUAAAGGCUCAACAAGCCGACGAUCUGUAGCUGGUCUGAGAGGACGACCAGCCACACUGGGACUGAGACACGGCCCAGACUCCUACGGGAGGCAGCAGUGGGGAAUUUUGGACAAUGGACGCAAGUCUGAUCCAGCCAUUCCGCGUGCAGGACGAAGGCCUUCGGGUUGUAAACUGCUUUUGUACGGAACGAAAAAGCUCUUACUAAUACUAGGAGUCCAUGACGGUACCGUAAGAAUAAGCACCGGCUAACUACGUGCCAGCCGCCGCCGUAA
rnacentral:rRNA from 1 species